CCUACGGGAGGCAGCAGUCGGGAAUAUUGCGCAAUGGAGGAAACUCUGACGCAGUGACGCCGCGUGCAGGAAGAAGGUUUUCGGAUUGUAAACUGCUUUAGACAGGGAAGAAAAAAGACAGUACCUGUAGAAUAAGCUCCGGCUAACUACGUGCCAGCAGCCGCGGUAAUA
rnacentral:rRNA from 1 species